rfam:TPA: Bos taurus chromosome 10, whole genome shotgun sequence.
UCCCUGAUGGCUCAGACAUUAAAGAGUCUGCCUGCAGUGCAGGAGACCCAGGUUCGAUCCCUGGGUCGGGAA